UACGUAGGGUGCAAGCGUUGUCCGGAAUUAUUGGGCGUAAAGAGCUCGUAGGCGGUUCGUCGCGUCGGCUGUGAAAUCCCGAGGCUCAACCUCGGGUCUGCAGUCGAUACGGGCAAACUAGAGUAUUGCAGGGGAGACUGGAAUUCCUGGUGUAGCGGUGAAAUGCGCAGAUAUCAGGAGGAACACCGGUGGCGAAGGCGGGUCUCUGGGCAAUAACUGACGCUGAGGAGCGAAAGCGUGGGGAGCGAACAGGA
rnacentral:rRNA from 1 species